GAGUUUGAUCCUGGCUCAGGAUGAACGCUAGCGGCAGGCCUAAUACAUGCAAGCCGAACGGUAAGUUUGAUAGCAAUAUUGAACCUAGAGUGGCGUAAGGGUGCGUAACACGUAUGCAAUCUACCCGCAACAGGAGGAUAGCUCCCCGAAAGGGGAAUUAACCCUCCAUGAGAUCACACGAGGGCAUCUGAGAGUGAUUAAAUCUGAGGAGGUUGUGGAUGAGCAUGCGACUGAUUAGCUAGUUGGCAGUGUAACGGACUACCAAGGCGAUGAUCAGUAGGGGAACUGAGAGGUUGAUCCCCCACACUGGCACUGAGAUACGGGCCAGACUCCUACGGGAGGCAGCAGUAGGGAAUAUUGGUCAAUGGGUGAGAGCCUGAACCAGCCAUGCCGCGUGCAGGAAGAAGGCCUUCUGGGUUGUAAACUGCUUUUGCCGGGGGAUAAAAGACCCUUGCGAGGGAAAUUGAAGGUACCUGGUGAAUAAGCCACGGCUAACUACGUGCCAGCAGCCGCGGUAAUACGUAGGUGGCAAGCGUUGUCCGGAUUUACUGGGCGUAAAGAGCGCGCAGGCGGUCGUUUAAGUCGAAUGUGAAAGCCCCCGGCUCAACUGGGGAGGGUCAUUCGAUACUGAUCGACUUGAAGGCAGGAGAGAGAAGUGGAAUUCCCGGUGUAGUGGUGAAAUGCGUAGAUAUCGGGAGGAACACCAGUGGCGAAGGCGGCUACCUGGCACAUAACUGACGCUGAGACGCGAAAGCGUGGGGAGCGAACCGGAUUAGAUACCCGGGUAGUCCACGCCCUAAACGUUGCGAACUAGGUGUUGGUCGGAUUGACCCGAUCAGUGCCGCAGCUAACGCAUUAAGUUCGCCGCCUGGGGAGUACGGUCGCAAGAUUAAAACUCAAAGGAAUAGGCGGGGGCCCGCACAAGCAGCGGAGCGUGUGGUUUAAUUCGAUGCGACGCGAAGAACCUUACCUGGACUUGACAUGCUUGGGAAACUCCGGUGAAAGCCGGGGCCUCUCGCAAGAGACUCUUGCACAGGUGGUGCAUGGCUGUCGUCAGCUCGUGCCGUGAGGUGUUGGGUUAAGUCCCGCAACGAGCGCAACCCUUAUCUUAUGUUGCCAGCGCGUAAUGGCGGGGACUCGUGAGAGACUGCCGGGGUCAACUCGGAGGAAGGUGGGGAUGACGUCGAGUCCUCAUGGCCCUUACGGGCUGGGCUACACACGUGCUACAAUGGCGGUGACAGUGGGACGCAAUGGAGCAAUCCUGCGCAAAUCUCAAAAAGCCGUCUCAGUUCGGAUUGGGGGCUGCAACUCGCCCCCAUGAAGUUGGAAUCGCUAGUAAUCGUGGAUCAGAACGCCACGGUGAUACGUUCCCGGGCCUUGCACACAC
rnacentral:rRNA from 1 species